rnacentral:rRNA from 1 species
GAAUGGCCGCAGUAUUUUAACUGUGCAAAGGUAGCAUAAUCAUUAGUCUUUUAAUUGAAGGCUUGUAUGAAUGGUUGGACGAAAUAUUUACUGUUUCAUUAAAAUUGAUUUAGAAUUUUAUUUUUUAGUCAAAAAGCUAAAAUAUUUUUAAAAGACGAGAAGACCCUAUAGAUCUUUAUAUUUUAUGUAUUAUAAUUAUUUAGAUUAUUUGAAUUAUAAUUAUAUAAAAUAUUUUGUUGGGGUGAUAUUAAAACUUAAUUAACUUUUAAUUAAUUAAUACAUUAAUUUAUGAAUAAUUGAUCCAUUAAUAAUGAUUAAAAAUUUAAGUUACCUUAGGGAUAACAGCGUAAUUUUUUUGAAGAGUUCAUAUCGAUAAAAAAGAUUGCGACCUCGAUGUUGGAUUAAGAUAUAAUUUUGGGUGCAGCAAUUCAAUUAUUAAGUC